UCGGGAAUUUUGGGCAAUGGGGGAAACCCUGACCCAGCAACGCCGCGUGAAGGAUGAAGUAUUUCGGUAUGUAAACUUCGUAAGAAUAGGAAGAAUAAAUGACGGUACUAUUUGUAAGGUCCGGCUAACUACGUGCCAGCAGCCGCGGUAAUACGUAGGGACCAAGCGUUGUUCGGAUUUACUGGGCGUAAAGGGCGCGUAGGCGGCAUGACAAGUCACUUGUGAAAUCUCUGGGCUUAACCCAGAACGGCCAAGUGAUACUGUCGCGCUAGAGUGCAGAAGGGGCAAUCGGAAUUCUUGGUGUAGCGGUGAAAUGCGUAGAUAUCAAGAGGAACACCUGAGGUGAAGACGGGUUGCUGGGCUGACACUGACGCUGAGGCGCGAAAGCCAGGGGAGCAAACGGGAUUAGAUACCCUUGUAGUCCCUGAGCGGGCUGGCAAGGCGCAU
rnacentral:rRNA from 1 species